rnacentral:rRNA from 1 species
ACGGAGGAACGCCGCGUGCCGGAAGACGGCCUUCGGGUUGUAAACGGCUUUUGUUGGGGAAGACAUGGACGGUACCCAACGAAUAAGGGCCGGCUAACUCCGUGGCAGCAGCCGCGGUAAGACGGAGGGGGCAAGCGUUGUCCGGACUCACUGGGCGUAAAGCGUGCGUAGGCGGUACGGAGCGUCGCCACUGAAAGCUCCCGGCUCAACUGGGAGAGGUGUGGCGAUACGACCGAACUGGAGGCAGAGAGAGGUGUGCAGAAUUCCGGGUGUAGUGGUGAAAUGCGUAGAGAUCCGGAGGAAUGUCGGUGGCGAAAGCGGCACACUGGUUCUGACCUGACGCUGAGGCACGAAAGCGUGGGGAGCAAACCGGAUUAGAUACCCGGGUAGUCCACGCAGUAAACGAUGUCGGCUCGGUGUGCAGUGGUGUACCAACACCACCGCGUGCCCCAGUUCACACGGUAAGCCGACCGCCUGGGGACUACGAGCGCAAGCUUAAAACUCAAAGGAAUUGACGGGGCCCCGCACAAGCAGCGGAGCGUGUGGUUCAAUUCGAUGCUACACGAAGAACCUUACCUGGGUUUGACAUCUAGGUGGUACCGAACCGAAAGGGGAGGGACCCUUCGGGGAGCCUAGACAGGUGCUGCAUGGCUGUCGUCAGCUCGUGCCGUGAGGUGUCGGGUUAAGUCCCGUAACGAGCGCAACCCUUGCCCUUAGUUACAAGUGUCUAAGGGGACUGCCGGCGGUAAGCCGGAGGAAGGUGGGGAUGACGUCAAGUCAGCAUGGCCCUUAUAUCCAGGGCUACACACACGCUACAAUGGUCGGUACAAAGGGCAGCGAAGCCGCGAGGUGGAGCGAAUCUCCCAA